UACGUAGGAUCCAAGCGUUGUCCGGAUUUACUGGGUGUAAAGGGUGCGCAGGCGGUCUUGCAAGACAGAUGUGAAAUCCCCGGGCUCAACCUGGGAACUGCAUUUGUGACUGCAAGGCUGGAGUGCGGCAGAGGGGGAUGGAAUUCCGCGUGUAGCAGUGAAAUGCGUAGAUAUGCGGAGGAACACCGAUGGCGAAGGCAAUCCCCUGGGCCUGCACUGACGCUCAUGCACGAAAGCGUGGGGAGCAAACAGG
rnacentral:rRNA from 1 species